AAGCGCUACCUGGCGUGCUUGAGUCAUAGACCUGAGUGCAAAUCUGAGAGCACAUAUCGUGGAGGAAGCCUAGCGGCGGAUAAAGAGUCCCCGACGAGUAUUUCUCUCUUUCUACGGCAACCAGUCGCGAGCGUGCGAGACAGAGAAGGGUACUCUGCUUACUAUUCCGCUCUCUGUGCCGCUUUCCACUUACACGAAAGGGUAUACCAGGCUUCCUCCAUAGUAUAUGCUCCAAGGUGCAAAAAUGCUCGUGAAAAUCUAGACCACGAAGUCCUUAUUCUUUCUUUUGAAUUUAUCUUACUCAAAAUAAUUUUACCCAUUUUGUUAAAAAAGCUCCUUUGAGGUACUUGGAUAAAAGAUUUGUUGAAAAUUUUCAAACUACGAACUUCUAAGGGAUUACAAUUAACCUAAAAAUUGAUUGACCAGUGUUGUUAAAAAAAUGUGAAGAAAAUUAAUUGAUGAAAAACGAAAAAAAGAGAUAGCUGAAUAUGUUUGGAAAUAAAAAAAAUAAUUUACCGCCGAGGCCUCAUCCCCCAUCACCUGAACAGGUAUUGGAAGAUAUUCUAAAUGCAAAUAAAGAUGAUGUGGUUUUCAGAUUCAAUAACAGGGAGGAAUCUGGGGAUGAGAAUUUGAAUUAUCCGAUGAAUACAUAUGAUGCGGAAUCCGUGUAUACAAGGCUGAAAAUAUAUUUAAAUGUUAAAAAAACUUUGAAGAAGUUAAGUGACACACUAUCGAUAGAAAAUGAGUCGUUGCAAAGUGCCAAUGUAGAGAUGAAAACGAUGGCUGAGGGUAUAAGGAAACAAGCACAAGAUGCCCUUGUUAAACAGUAAUAAUGAUAUUUGUUUAUAACGUGUAAUCACAAUAUGCAUAAUUAUAAUCAACAAAUAUAAUUUUCAAUAUCCAGCUCAAAAGUAAUAUACUUGUAAAUUGUUUUAUGUACUAUAAAUCCUAAUUUAUUCUAAUUCAAUGUAAUGAUAAACAUAUUUCAUUUUAAAGUACAUAUGAUGAUAUGUUUAACUCGAUGUUGUUUACUUAUUUUAAAUACACUUACUCGGGGAUACGAGAACACUAAACGCAUUCUAAAUUUAGUUGGGGUGAAAACUUCUGCACUAUAAUAUAUGAAAAAAUCCACUAUAAUUGGACAGUUAUUUUAUAUGGGAAUCUCCUAAUAGUCCCUUUAUAAAUUAUGAUUCGGAAUUAAUUUCACAGAUAAAAAAAUUAGACAUCAAAUUCAAAGUACGGAAAUUCAAACACAAAACUUUUCGCUUUUAAACAUACUUUUUCCUUAAUUUCACCACUAUUAAGUUUGUUAAAAAAAGCCCGUCUAGACCCUUUAACUUAAAUUAUAUGGACGUUCAACAUCGAGAUACUCAUAUAGGUAUUAAGAAACAGUAAAUAUAGUCUUGAGAUUCUAAAUUGUAAUAUUCAUUUGAGAUAUUUCAUAUACAAUGUGCGUAAUGUGCAGUUUUGCAACGUAAUUUUAAAACUGCUAUUAAAGUCUACCUAAAAAAAAGAAAUUAAAAGUUUUGCCUACAGAUUUUGGGUGUCUACAAGUAGUAGUAUAUAAAAAAUCAAAAUAUUCCUGCAGCACACAACAAGACUACAUAUUUGUCCUGUGUAAAUAUUUUAUCAAAUUCACAUAAAUGUUUCCAAGUCAUCGUUCAUAGCUACAAAUUUGCCAUACCAUGAAAUUUAGAAAGGUUUAGUCACCCUGUGUAAAAGGCACAGUUUUACUUUAAAAAUAUUUUAUGCUACAUCACUAAUUUCAUCUGCGAUAAUUACAUUCUUCAAAGGCACAUUAUUUCAAACUAACAAAUGACUGCUCCUGUGAAUUUAUUGAGAAUUAGGAGAAUAAAAAUGAAAAAUAAUUGGUAGACUGUAAAGAUCCUUACUGAACAAUGUGCUAAAAUCAUUAUCAAUUAGCAUCUCUACCUGCAAAGAUUACAUUUUCAACGCAUAUUACCAUGUUAAUUCCAGUCACACAGUAGAACAAGUUUACACUGAAAACUUCUAAUUCCUCAUUUGUAAUAAUGUCUUUUAAAUUAAUCGGUGCUGGUUUUCUCUUUUCUUAGAAAGUAACAAUGUAAAUUUAGGAAAACUAUUGAAGCUCAAAACUAUGAUACAGUAUGCGUAAGUGUCUGCUUACUUAUUUUAGUUGACCCGCAAAAAAGAGAGAAAAAUGUCAGAAUACAUUACGAUUAUUCAACUUUGAGUAUCGUACAACGAGGUAAUCAAAGUGUAAUUCAAUCUGCAUCUUGUUGUCAAGUUGUGCGGAAGACAAGGUGCUUAACAAAUUUAAAGCCUCUUUUGAAAAGUACCAUUCAUGAAUCUUGAAACUUACGUGGAAAACUUGGAAACACGGAUAAAAGUUUGAUUCCACAGAUUAAUGCUUGUACAGAUUAGUUAUUCAUGGAAUAUGAAAAUACCGCUUGAGAGCACAUUUGUUAGCAAAAUUAGGACGGAGAUCGUGAUUAGUACAUUUCAAAAAUGGGUCCUUUGAUCAAGAACUAUUUAUACAGUAGUUGCAAUAUUAUAUAUCUUUAUACGUUUGAGGUAUGUUGAGAUUCAAAUCCGAAGGCCUUACACAUUGGAGAAUUAUAAAGCAAUAAAUCUGAACUUGAGAAUGCGAGCAUAAUUUUUAGCGAAAUAAUAAAUAGGCACUUUUCAGUCAGACCGUAUAUAUCGAUACAUUAAUGACCCAUCACAAAUUAUUUAUUUUUACCCAAACUUUGUAUCAAAGGCACGAUAUUGUUCCAAGAGAAUAUUAUUCAUGUUUUACUUGAACUCAGGUGCCUUUACGAAGUUGUCAUACUUUAUAAUAAUUCUAUGAUAAAUAAUGAAUCGAUCCAUCAGAACGUGAAAUAAGUUUGCAAAAUAAUUUGCAAGCACUCGAUAUUCAUUAGUUGAAUUUUACAAGAAAUUGAGUUCAGUGAAAAAAUAAGUUGCACCUAUUUUGUGCAUCAAGUUUUAAUUGUAAGACAAUUAUUGCUAGUGGUAGUUUAAGUCUGGUAUUGUGUUGACUCUAACAGCAGGAUCACUAAGAUAAGCGCACCAAGUGAAACCAGGUGGAUAUCCUGUAAAAUUGGAAGAAUGAGUUAUAUUACACCAUUAAACAAAUUGAUUUGAUACAGUCUAGGGUGCAAUAACAUACAGUAAAUUGGUAGAAACAUAUCCAGAUGCCCUGUGUAGUGUUUGUGUCUGGCCAAAGGUGCAAACCUAUUAGUGAGAUGAAUUAGAGAGGCUCAUUGCAAGCGCCUUCUUAUUGUAUUUAAAGUUAAUGUUAAGAUGUCAGUAGUUAUAUGAUUCUGUUAGUGGAAAGAUAAGUCAAAUUAACUUCGUGAAAACUUAUUCUAGUCAUUUGCGAUAUCACCAAAGCCGAUUUACAUUAAAAUUAAUUGCUUAAUAUAUGUGUAUUAUAUUCCCAUUUAUAAUACUUACAAGGUAGUAAUUGUGAACAAGUUGUAUGCAGUUAAUGUGUAUGAGGAUCCGAUAAAACUGCCACCUGUAAUGUUUUUUGUCCAGCUGCGUGAAAUUGUUAUGUUGUUAUUAGUCACAACUUUCUAACGGUAGCCCAACCAAUUGUUAAAAAAUGUGCAGAUUUCCUCUAAAAACUGAAGUUUUUUUUCAAUUAUUAUCGUUUGUUCAGUGUAAUUCCGGUUGAUCAGCAGUUUAAAAAAUAGUAAGCAGUGCAAGUCAAUUAAAAUGCCCGCUAUGAACACAGAUCUUUUACCUGUGUCCGAUAUCCCCUGUCUUACUGUACUAAUUGCUCGUCUGGUAAUAAACAUUCACUCCUUUCCGCUGUCUACUUUCCAUUAAUAACUUGUGCAUACAAUCGUUUUGAACUGUGCCCUUGCCUAAGAAUAGAUAGUAAAAGCAGACAAAUGAUAAUUGCAUAAACAGAAAAAUAUAGAAAUGACCAGAAAUUUGAUAAUGAAAUAAGUAGGUUGAAAAUGAUGUCGAUGUACACAAGGAAAGAAAUGAGAAAAAAACGGAAAUAAAAUUGUAUAAUAAGUAUUUAAUACAGGUCAUAACAAGGAUGCAUAAUAUGUGUACAUAAAAAUAUAUAAUUUGUUAUUUUAAUAAUUAUAUAUAUCAAAUGCUUUGCAUUUGUUUUUUUUACCUUAGAAUUUAUAAAUUCAAUAUAAUCCGAGUGAUUCGUGUAACAAAGUCCUAUGGGACUAUAAUCUAAGCGUGUUAAUCAUACUUCAUUGGAAAUGCUAAAAUUAGCUAACCAAAUUCAAUAGGGACGGAAAAUUGAAGUGCAAUAUGUUCACCAUAUGUAUACGAAAAAAAUACAAUAGUGCUGCAGAAUAACUGUGUUUACAAAAAAAUAAGAAAGUUGAAGAAUUCGUAAACUGUAGAUAACUUUUACUCUUCGUGAUUAAUGAUUAGAUGUUACUGAAAUGCAUAAAUUGCAAAGAAUAUUUGUUAAUUUUCCAGAGAAAAAUAGUAUAGUAUGUAUCAAGGGACAGAAGUUGAUGAUUGCGACAAGUGUGAAGUUUUCACCUGAGCAAAGUGAGGGCAACAACCACACGAGUUGCAAUCGCCAAUUUUUGGCUCGAGUCGCACAGAAUAGUUUUUAUAAUAAGUAAAUGAAAAGUGGUAGGGCUUUGCUUGGCAGUAUUGCGGGUACGAAUGGCCAAUUUUUUCUCCAUAGGGACGAAAGUGAAGCAGUUGUGGAUUGCGCUUGGGCGAACCUAUCUUUACAACACUAAGAGGAAAUUGGCUACUUUCUUCCUGCUAAACUGCUAUGCAAAGCCCCACUUUUCAUGCAUGUGUGACAAAAAACAUAUAUCAAGUUGUACAGUAAAAAUGAUCGAUACAAAUUUAAUAAUUCCCAAGAAUACUUUGCAACAAUCAAUCAAGGUAAUGAACUUCAAAUUCUUAAUGUAUAAAUAUUAUAAUAAUUAUUGUCUAUAAAAGACAGAUGAAUUGAAAUUUGCUUCUUUACUGCCAUUUGAUCAGCUUGUAGUAUAGUACGAUUAUAUUUCACAUCAUACUCAUUGCAAAGAUGAGUUGAAUGUGUUAAAACUUAAAUUAUACACAUUGCUUUCCUUUCAUAAGUAAAUAAGUAAAUCCGAAUACUGCUAUAAUACAUACAAUAUCGUCUAUUCGAUUUUCUAGCACCAAUAUUUAUGAAGUAUUGUGAACAUGAGAUUUUUGUCCAUGAAUACAUAGAUCAAUUAGAUCGCAAAGUCAGUCUUUUAAAAUACAAUAGAUCUACCACCAAAAAGCAUGUUUAAAAUAGCUGCUAUAUAUACAUAUUUUGAUUGAGCAAUACUUGGAAUUCAUUAGUUCUUUCAGUAUUUCUGUAAUAGUACAGUUCACUCUUUCAACAGUGCCAGUGUUGGGUGUGUAAGAGAAUUUCUUUCAGAGGAAAGCAAUAGCGUGCACAUCUAGUGUACGACACUAUGGAAAGAGCCAUAGAAUUUAGCCCCAGGUGGGAGAAGCAGCACUAUUGGUAAAGCGCAGUGUAUCGAGUUACCAAAAAAUUAAAAAAACCACAAAUAAAAUAUCUUGGUCACUAAUAAGAAUCAUUUAUCAAAUUGCUCAAACAAGACAAUUAAUUAUAUACCAUUUAAACUAGUAUAAUCCACAUAGAAUAGAGAACGGCAUUAUGCAACAAUGAAGCAAUUUGAUUCACUUUUCAUGAAUUUUUAAAUCUCACCAUUACCAAAAAAUUUACUACAUAUUUUUAUGUGAACUAGAAUAUGUUUUUGAAAUUUUUAACGUUAGCCUUUGAUUUGCCUCAUUAUUGCAAUAUUUCAUUGAAGUAUGUUAUCUGUCAAACCCCAACCAAAGUAUGAUGGAUUAUUUACAACGUGACUAAAUAGCAGUGAGUACAGUUUUGAUCGCUGUAAUGUGUGAAAAUAAAAAAUGAAUGAAGUAACAAUAAAAAUAUGCAACAUAUAAUGCUAGUUUGUGAUAAAUAUACCAAAGUGUUUUCUAGUGCAAAGUAUAUAUUCAAUAUUGAGUAAUCCUUGAAUAUUUGAAAAAUUUAUAGCCAUAAUGAAAUAUUAAAUAGGAACUGUUCAGAUUCAAUCAUUUCAACAAAAAAUUCCUUCAUCCCAUUAGGUACCAGUAUUUUAUAUGGCUAUGUAUCAUAGUGCAAGGUUUCAUGUUACAUUUAAUGAGUAAAUGUGGGUCAGAAAGAUAACCAUUACGUCACAUAGCUAACAGAAACAUCUUAUAAUGCCAGAAAUAACGUUUUUAGAUGAAGUGUUUUCUUAUCAUUCUUUAAAUCUGUUUACAAUUAUUGUUUGAUUUAGUUAUAAAGUUAAUAUUGAUCAACCGUCCAACAAAACUAGGACAUUUUCAACACGCACCUGUGUUUUAGCAUGCAAUUUGUGAAAAUAAAGGUACGUUUGGAAUUUCCACAGAUCAUAUAGUGCCUCUAUCAUUUGAAGCCAUAAUUUGGAAUAGAAAAGAAUUGACGCAUGGUCAACUUGCCUUUGGGUUUAUAUUUGAGGUGAUCUUCUAUAUACUGGCAGGGGCAGCGGGCGGAGACGCAAUGUCGUGGUGCGACUGAUGUCCCCACAACAGUUCUAUUUCGCUCCUGGGAAUCUAUAACCAGGUCAAGUCUGCGCCUUGCAAAGUGUCGCGCCCAUCUGGACGCAUAUCUCAGCAGCAGCAACUCCGCCCGCUCCUACCAACACAGACCAGCACCGUUCAAUACCUGCUAUUUACGUUUAGGUGGUUUUAAACGGGCUGGUGUUUCUGGUGGCGUUUCAUCAUCAAAUUGGACCCAAUUUUUAGUCUUAUCUCGUAUAUCCCCAGACGAAUUGGGUGACUUGGAUAUAGGCACAUCGUCAGUUGUGUCUUGAGACAUCGAGGAGCUCAUUUUUUUCUGGAUGAACAAGAGUAAGGUGUUAAAUUGAGAAUUGAUUAACAUUAACAAUAAAUCAAGUAUGUUAUCACUUUGAAGUAAUUGAAAACAUAAGUGAAAAUGAUGAACAAAUAAUUAUAUUUAUCACUGCAAA
rnacentral:sRNA from 1 species